UUCGAGCACGUUAUACAGUCGUUAUUAUUAAAUAGUUAUCAGAAAUCCCUGAAAAAAUACUUUCUUUUUUUUUCGAGCGCUUAUUAUUGUGCCAGCAGGGUUAAUUAAGUAACUAGAUUUAUCGGACUAGAUAAAUUUUUUGAUCCGUCAGUGAUGACAAACCGAACAGACUUUUCGGUUGAAUAAAUCGGAAAGCUACAUAAAGUUUUAGAAUAACAAUGGUUAAGGAGAGUUAAAUCGUGUCCACGUCUAGUCAAAUGGAACCCAUCGAUUGUACAGACUGAUGUACCCAAAUAAUUGUAAAUCUUAUAAAUGAUGUCAAUGUGAAACAGCACAAGAAAUUCGGCCAACUAACCUAGUAUCUGCAUAAGUUUCCAGCAAACGGUGUACAUAACAAACUCCAAAAUAUAACUGCGUGAUAAUGCCAAGUAAAAAGAAAAAAUACAAUGCCCGUUUCCCCGCGGGUCGCAUAAAAAAGAUCAUGCAGACAGACGAGGAAGUAGGAAAAGUUGCUCAAGCAGUUCCAGUUAUAAUUUCUAGAACUCUCGAGUUGUUCGUUCACUCGUUACUUACGAAAACGAUGCAGGUUACUAGUGCCAAAAAUGCCAAAACUCUUAGCCCAUCUCACAUGAAACAAUGUAUCCUUUCGGAGAGUCGAUUUGACUUCUUGAAAGAUUUAGUGAAAGGGUUUCCAGAUAUAACAGGCCCGGAUGAAGAGGUGCCCACACCUCCGUUAACACCUGCACCCAUUGCAGCAAAUUCCCUCCUAUCGACCACGUGUUUACAAUCGGCGCGUCAUUCAGUGCCUAGCAUUCCAACAGACAUAGCGUCUCAUUGUGAUAUAAAUAUAACUCCUGUCGGUACGAGGGACAGCAAAGGAAGUUCAUCUUCCAGUACCACAUUGCACGAAACAGCAAAAGUCGCAAGCUUACAAGCUCCAGAUUUUCAGAUGUCAGUGCCCACGUCAUUUAACGUUAGCCAGCCUAAUUUUUAUACCGAGGUGAAUCCUGCCAAUUUAGCAACCGGUACGUCAUGCUUAAGCGCAUCUAAUAAACCGAUGUCAAAUUUCACACACACUGCCAACAUCGACGAGGACUAUGACACAUAGUUUCUGCCUCGAAAUUUCCACGUUAAUACAGGUUUCUAGAUGCCUUGCUUAAUGCGAAGUUUCACGUAUACACGGUAUAUCGAUAUCGAUGAUGAACUAUUUUUCUUUUGUGCUUAAUUAAUUUAACCAAUAAUGUGGUCACCGAUGAAGUCAUUUUAUAGCGUCGCAUUGAUCCUCGAAACGGUUACUACGAAGGAUGUUCCGUGAUGUAGUUAACGAAGUAUAUAAUUAGUGAAUUGCACCUGUACACGUGGACACGCUUGAGACAAUAUUUGUGUAUACAUGUUCGGAGCUGGUAGCCAACGGAGAGCCGAAGGAUUAGCAAGGUACGUAGGAGUUUUCUGCGAUAUUUGCGGGAAGACCCACCUGAGAAUGAAUUUUGCUGGAAGUAAUUGAACUCUAACGGAACGUCAUUCAAGUAAUGCCAUUAUACCGCAGCAAAGGAGAAUGUAGAGUAUAGUAUGGAAAAUGAAUCGCAAUAACACGUGCCCUGCAAAAACUGUAAUAGUCAUUAUUGUGACACAAGUAGGAACACAUGUUGAUACUAGAUAGGUUAUUUAGCUGAUCGGCUUCCGUUUUCUUUUUACGAUUACUACUCACGUGUAUCCGAUUUAUGUUAAGCGAAAAUUGCCAAUGUACCACUACGAUUCUUUACAAGUCACUUGAUAUUUAUUUUACAUCUUUUAUCGCGUCUUUUACUCAUUUGUCGAUGAUAGGUUUCAAUGUCCGUAAUUUAGAAACGACGUAUAUUAUAUAUUCGUAAAAAAUGAAGUAACUUUAGUUAGUGUACCUAAGUACGUUAGUUUUGUUUAGAUGUGGUCAAUAGCGACGUCGAGCUACGUUUACGGUACAUACAUCGAACAAGUUGAUUUACAUUAAUGCAUCGUCAAGACGGUAGUGUUUAGUGUUUAAGUAUCUUCGGUCGGUGUAUUUAUAUGAGCUGUAAAUAGGACCUCUCGACCUCUUUUAAAGUAACCAUUCAGUACCCGUGUAGAAAUUAACACUUUAUCGACCGGAAGCCGAUUAAUCGGUUUUGCGAUACCCGUGAUCGCCAUUUACUUCGAAAUUCGCCGGUCGGUAAAGUGUUAAGUUAAAUAAAAAUAGAUCGUGUUCAUUUCCAAGAGAUUCGCUCGAUCGGUCGGUUCCCUUUCCUUGGUUAAAAAUGUCUAAAAACACAUGUCAGAGUCGCAUGGUCAUCUCAUCGGUGGGAUAUGAAACCACUGAACACAACUGUUGGUAUAAAAAGAUUUUCUUCUAGAUUUAAAAAAAAUACGGUUACAGUACAUUUCAGCACAGCUUAAUUUUAAAUAUUUCGAACGUAAAGGGGGCGGGGGGGAGUAGCGUUGGACAAAUAAUACAUACAUUUGCAGCACGUGUCUCCGCAUAUUGCAAUUUCGGCGUGCCUGAAGGGUUGAAUUAUUAAAUACGAUAUAAAUAUGUAAUCAGGGAGGAAAUACUUAAAGAUUUCUCAAGUUUAUCAGGACUUACGAAUACGACGCCGAGAUUAUUGCGCGAGAGUUAUCGAACGUAAACGCAUUUAAUUACAAAAGUAAGCCGUUUGCUCUAUAAAGUGGUAGUAAUUAUUUACAAGAUAUCCGCAAGUACGUUACGCGCGUGACAUUAACGACCACUAAUUCAACUUGUCGUUAAUUAAAUGGGGAAACCUUAACUCUCUUCGCGGGGGGGGUAAAGUUAGGUACAUCGUGAUGUCGCUUCGCCGAAUCGGCGCGAGUUGGGUCUGCGAAAUUGAACGUUAAUGUCGCAUUUGGUAAAGUUUGUCUAAUAGUUACGGAGGUUCAUAAAUUAAUAUGUAAAUAUACAGCGUUAAUCUCUGAACACCGUGGAAAGUGUUUCACGGGUGCGCAACAUAAAUUAUGACUCGGCGGUUCGACGCAAUUUCCCCAUGGUAUUUUCGGCGCGUUCGCGCAAUAAAUAUUAGUUUUACAGGUUCCUCCAUAAUGUACAAUAUCGCGGUCAUUGACGAUCGGCGGAUACAAGAAUUUCAACUGGACGGUCCGCGCUCGUCGCGGAGUCGGGAGAGAAUUUUUCGAUUUCAUAAAUAUGUAUACAUAUGUGUAUAGAUUACUUAACGAGUUUUCCUCCGUUUUGCGGUAGCAUUGACAUCAAAGUACAUACUUUGUAGCGCCCGCUCGAGCGAAGGAUCUCGUCGAUCUUACCAAGCUGAAUCGGCAGGAAUUUAGAGAACGUUAGUGGGAUGUUAAACGUAACUUACAUUCUCAGGAACACGGUAUGGUACAAAGAAUAUCCUGUAUUCUAUCGUAAUGUAAAUUAUGCGACUUAACGAGCUAGUACUAACGAUAUCGCCGCGCUAUUCCGUAGGUUCAGGUUCCUCGAUCGCUUCCGAUAGGCUAUGGGCUAUCCGGUGGAUCUUUCAUUAUAAAUAGCAUCGGCGCGUUUAGGUAUAAAUAUUACUCUAGCGGUGUCUAUUCAAGUACACUUUGAAUGGUGCUUUGGCAGCUGUAGCACCAUACAAGAGCAUCGUCGAUCUUCAACGUUCCCUGUCUUUAACCCUCGAGAGUCGAAAAUAUUUAUGCGUGCUUGGGGGGGCACGGACUAACGUUAAAUGUCAACGUUCCAAAGGCCCGUUUCUGAAAGAUAUUUGCCAGAAAAAAAAAAGUGUAUCUUGAAUACGACGAUGAAAUUGUUUUCGCCAGGCGAGGGUCAACUACUUUUGUACUACCCACUCUAUGCAGUUAUCUUUUGAACGUACUUGGCGCGCGAGCAGACGGAUUUUCGAGGAGACUUCUACGAUUCCACGGUGCCCGACGGGAACCGACAGCGGAGGAGAUCCCCCGACGAUUGCGGGUACGUUUCCCGAAGAAGUUUUAGAAUAAUGAAUUGGAGAAUUUGGUAAACGGUACGUCGUCCUCGUCAAUGAACCCAUUCGAGUAAC
rnacentral:misc_RNA from 1 species